rnacentral:tRNA from 1 species
GCCCCCGUUGUCUAAUGGUUAUGACGUCAGACUUCUAAUCUGGAGGUUGCGAGUUCGAGUCUCGCCGGGGGCU